AUGUCAUUGGAAAAUUUAGAGAAAUAAGAAGAAGGGGUUUCUGGGAAAACAUUGCCAAAAAGGUUCAGUCAUGUCUCACGAGAGUCACAGAGUGGGGAAGGUGUGGUCCAGUAGGAAUCGAACCUCAAUUCUGCCACCGGGAGAGCCGGCGAUCCUAACAUUUUACAAAGUUCGGCGCCGGGCGAUGUUAUCAAAGUCUUUGGGGUCUAGCUGGAAUUUGGUGGCUCCUCUGAAGCUUAAAGGCACCAGACUUAGGGUCCAACAGGCCAAAAGCCUUGAUUUGAAUGUUACUCAACACAGUGACACUCACCAGGUCCAGCCAACUUUAGGAUUGACAGUUUGAGCCUCUUUCUUGAUUAAUAGGGGGGUGGUGCAUGGCCGUUGAUAGUCAGUGGAGCUAGCCGUGUUUCAGGCUCCCUAUCGAGCAUAACCCCAUCCUUCCACAUAGCCAGGGUAGCUUUGGGUGGUCGCCGGCUUCUUAGAGGGACUAUCGGAGGGCACCGAUUUAAGUUCGAGGCAACGGCACAAGGCCAUGCCCUUAGAUGUUUUGGGCCGAAUCACCAAGGAGCCCCGACGGUCAUCAAGUUUUUAACCUUGAACGAGAACCCUUGGGUAAUCUGAGCAACUUGGCUCGUAUUGGGGAUAGAAUAUUCACGGUUAUAAUCUUUAACGAGGCAUUCUAAUAUAACGCAAGUCAUCAACUUGCAGCCAUUACGUAGCCUCCCCGUAUACACUCCG
rnacentral:rRNA from 1 species